rnacentral:lncRNA from 1 species
GAGAUAAACAAGGAGAUCAAAACGCUUUCGCAUGAUGAAAUGUGACUUUCUUACUAGCUUAGCUUCAAAUUAAUAAUAACCAAGUUGACCAGUCUACAUCUUAGAUUUAGUAUUUAACAUUAUAGUCCACCGACACUGCUCAUGGACCCAGAAAGCAUAACUGCACCAUCUCGUUCUCAUGGUAUCACCACAGACGCAAGUCCUAGCCAGACCAAUGGCAACUUGCAUCACAAGGACAACUAGCUACCAAG